GCGAACGCUGGCGGCAGGCCUCACCCAUGCAAGUCGAACGAACCUUUCGGGGUUAGUGGCGGACGGGUGAGUAACACGUGGGAACGUGCCUUUAGGUUCGGAAUAACUCAGGGAAACUUGUGCUAAUACCGAAUGUGCCCUUCGGGGGAAAGAUUAAUCGCCUUUAGAGCGGCCCGCGUCUGAUUAGCUAGUUGGUUGAGGUAAUGGCUCACCAAGGCGACGAUCAGUAGCUGGUCUGAGAGGAUGAUCAGCCACAUUGGGACUGAGACACGGCCCAAACUCCUACGGGAGGCAGCAGUGGGGAAUCUUGCGCAAUGGGCGAAAGCCUGACGCAGCCAUGCCGCGUGAAUGAUGAAGGUCUUAGGAUUGUAAAAUUCUUUCACCGGGGACGAUAAUGACGGUACCCGGAGAAGAAGCCCCGGCUAACUUCGUG
rnacentral:rRNA from 1 species